rnacentral:sRNA from 1 species
UCUCCCUGAAAGUAGCUAAUUCAAAGCAGAACGAGAACAGAUGGCUUGCACGCUCUACCUUUUCAUCUCUUGCAACAUCUCAUCUGCAACUAUCACUUAUCGAUUUCUUGCACCUAUA